rnacentral:rRNA from 1 species
GACGAACGCUGGCGGCGUGCUUAACACAUGCAAGUCGAGCGGACAGGCCCUGCUUUUGUGGGUUUCUCGUGUGGCGCACGGGUGAGUAACACGCGAGUAACCUGCCCUUGACUUUCGGAUAUCUUCAGGAAACUGCGGCUAAUACCGGAUAUGAGCUCCUGCUGCAUGGUGUGGGUUGGUAAGUUUCGGCUGUUCGGGAUGGACUCGCGGCUUAUCAGCUUGUUGGUGGGGUAGUGGCUUAACAAGGCUUUGACGGGUAGCCGGCCUGGGAGGGUGACCGGCCACAUUGGGACUGAGAUACGGACCAGACGCCUACGGGAGGCAGCAGGGGGGAAUAUUGCACAAUGGGCGGAAGCCUGAUGCAGCAACGCCGCGUGCGGGAUGACGGCCUUCGGGUUGUAAACCGCUUUCGCCUGUGACGAAGAGUGAGUGACGGUAAUGGGUAAAGAAGCACCGGCUAACUACGUG